rnacentral:rRNA from 1 species
GAACGCUGGCGGCGUGCCUAAUACAUGCAAGUCAACGCAUUGUGGUUGAAAUGAUAUGAAGAACUUGUUCAGAUUUGAUUUUCAACAUUGCAAUGAGUGGCGAACGGGUGAGUAACACGUGGGAAACCUACCUCUUAGCAGGGGAUAACAUUUGGAAACAAAUGCUAAUACCGUAUAAUAAUUAAAACCGCAUGGUUUUAGUUUAAAAGAUGGUCUUGCUAUCACUAAGAGAUGGUCCCGCGGUGUAUUAGUUAGUUGGUGAGGUAAUGGCUCACCAAGACAAUGAUACAUAGCCGAGUUGAGAGACUGACCGGCCACAAUGGGACUGAGACACGGCCCAUACUCCUACGGGAGGCAGCAGUAGGGAAUCUUCCACAAUGGACGAAAGUCUGAUGGAGCAACGCCGCGUGUGUGAUGAAGGGUUUCGGCUCGUAAAACACUGUUGUAAGAGAAGAAUGACAUUGAGAGUAACUGUUCAAUGUGUGACGGUAUCUUACCAGAAAGGAACGGCUAAAUACGUGCCAGCAGCCGCGGUAAUACGUAUGUUCCAAGCGUUAUCCGGAUUUAUUGGGCGUAAAGCGAGCGCAGACGGUUGGUUAAGUCUGAUGUGAAAGCCCGGAGCUCAACUCCGGAAAGGCAUUGGAAACUGGUCAACUUGAGUGCGGUAGAGGUAAGUGGAACUCCAUGUGUAGCGGUGGAAUGCGUAGAUAUAUGGAAGAACACCAGCGGCGAAGGCGGCUUACUGGACUGUAACUGACGUUGAGGCUCGAAAGUGUGGGUAGCAAACAGGAUUAGAUACCCU